GGUUAAGCGACUAAGCGUACACGGUGGAUGCCCUGGCAGUCAGAGGCGAUGAAGGGCGUGCUAAUCUGCGAUAAGCGCCGGUAAGGUGAUAUGAACCGUUAUAACCGGCGAUACCCGAAUGGGGAAACCCAGUGUGAUUCGUCACACUAUCAUUAACUGAAUCCAUAGGUUAAUGAGGCGAACCGGGGGAACUGAAACAUCUAAGUACCCCGAGGAAAAGAAAUCAACCGAGAUUCCCCCAGUAGCGGCGAGCGAACGGGGAGGAGCCCAGAGCCUGAAUCAGCAUGUGUGUUAGUGGAAGCGUCUGGAAAGGUGCGCGAUACAGGGUGACAGCCCCGUACACAAAAGCGCAUGUGCUGUGAGCUCGAUGAGUAGGGCGGGACACGUGGUAUCCUGUCUGAAUAUGGGGGGACCAUCCUCCAAGGCUAAAUACUCCUGACUGACCGAUAGUGAACCAGUACCGUGAGGGAAAGGCGAAAAGAACCCCGGCGAGGGGAGUGAAAAAGAACCUGAAACCGUGUACGUACAAGCAGUGGGAGCACAGGUUUACCUGUGUGACUGCGUACCUUUUGUAUAAUGGGUCAGCGACUUAUAUUCUGUAGCAAGGUUAACCGUAUAGGGGAGCCGUAGGGAAACCGAGUCUUAAUUGGGCGUUAAGUUGCAGGGUAUAGACCCGAAACCCGGUGAUCUAGCCAUGGGCAGGUUGAAGGUUGGGUAACACUAACUGGAGGACCGAACCGACUAAUGUUGAAAAAUUAGCGGAUGACCUGUGGCU
rnacentral:rRNA from 1 species